rnacentral:rRNA from 1 species
AAUGAACGCUGGCGGCAUGCCUUACACAUGCAAGUCGAACGGCAGCAUGACCUAGCUUGCUAGGUUGAUGGCGAGUGGCGAACGGGUGAGUAAUGCAUCGGAACGUGCCUUUUAGUGGGGGAUAACGUAGCGAAAGUUACGCUAAUACCGCAUAUUCUCUGAGGAGGAAAGCAGGGGAACUUCGGGCCUUGCGCUAGAAGAGCGGCCGAUGUCGGAUUAGCUAGUUGGUGAGGUAAAGGCUCACCAAGGCAACGAUCCGUAGCGGGUCUGAGAGGAUGAUCCGCCACACUGGGACUGAGACACGGCCCAGACUCCUACGGGAGGCAGCAGUGGGGAAUUUUGGACAAUGGGCGCAAGCCUGAUCCAGCCAUGCCGCGUGAGUGAAGAAGGCCUUCGGGUUGUAAAGCUCUUUCGGCUGGGAAGAAAUCGCACCCUCUAAUACAGGGUGUGGAUGACGGUACCAGCAUAAGAAGCACCGGCUAACUACGUG